rnacentral:tRNA from 1 species
GAAGUUAUAGCUCAGUGAUAGAACAUGUGCUUAGUAUGCACAAGGUUCUGGGUUCAAUCCCCAGCACCUCCA